rnacentral:rRNA from 1 species
CCUACGGGUGGCUGCAGUGGGGAAUUUUGGACAAUGGGCGCAAGCCUGAUCCAGCCAUGCCGCGUGAGUGAAGAAGGCCUUCGGGUUGUAAAGCUCUUUAGUCCGGGACGAAAUCGCACGCGUGAAUAUCGCGGGUGGAUGACGGUACCGGAAGAAUAAGCACCGGCUAACUACGUGCCAGCAGCCGCGGUAAUACGUAGGGUGCGAGCGUUAAUCGGAAUUACUGGGCGUAAAGCGUGCGCAGGUGGUUUUUUAAGUCAGACGUGAAAUCCCCG